rnacentral:tRNA from 1 species
CGGGGUGUAGCGCAGUCCGGUUAGCGCACCUGCUGUGGGAGCAGGGGGUCACAGGUUCGAAUCCUGUUACCCCGA